rnacentral:rRNA from 1 species
UGUAGUCAUAUGCUUGUCUCAAAGAUUAAGCCAUGCAUGUCUAAGUAUAAGCAAUCUAUACAGUGAAACUGCGAAUGGCUCAUUAAAUCAGUUAUCGUUUAUUUGAUAUUACCUUACUACAUGGAUAACCGUGGUAAUUCUAGAGCUAAUACAUGCUUAAAAGUCCCGACUCACGAAGGGAUGUAUUUAUUAGAUAAAAAACCAAUGUCUUCGGACUCCUUGGUGAUUCAUAAUAACUUUUCGAAUCGCAUGGCCUUGUGCCGGCGAUGGUUCAUUCAAAUUUCUGCCCUAUCAACUUUCGAUGGUAGGAUAGUGGCCUACCAUGGUUGCAACGGGUAACGGGGAAUUAGGGUUCUAUUCCGGAGAGGGAGCCUGAGAAACGGCUACCACAUCCAAGGAAGGCAGCAGGCGCGCAAAUUACCCAAUCCCGACACGGGGAGGUAGUGACAAUAAAUACUGAUACAGGGUCCUUUCGGGUCUUGUAAUCGGAAUGAGUACAAUUUAAAUCCCUUAACGAGGAACAAUUGGAGGGCAAGUCUGAAUCG